rnacentral:rRNA from 1 species
GACGAACGCCGGCGGCGUGCCUAAUACAUGCAAGUAGAACGCUGAAGGAGGAGCUUGCUCUUCUGGAUGAGUUGCGAACGGGUGAGUAACGCGUAGGUAACCUGCCUGGUAGCGGGGGAUAACUAUUGGAAACGAUAGCUAAUACCGCAUAAGAGUAGAUGUUGCAUGACAUUUGCUUAAAAGGUGCAAUUGCAUCACUACCAGAUGGACCUGCGUUGUAUUAGCUAGUUGGUGGGGUAACGGCUCACCAAGGCGACGAUACAUAGCCGACCUGAGAGGGUGAUCGGCCACACUGGGACUGAGACACGGCCCAGACUCCUACGGGAGGCAGCAGUAGGGAAUCUUCGGCAAUGGACGGAAGUCUGACCGAGCAACGCCGCGUGAGUGAAGAAGGUUUUCGGAUCGUAAAGCUCUGUUGUAAGAGAAGAAACGAGUGUGAGAAGUGGAAAAGUU